GUGGGGGAUAUUGCACAAUGGGGGAAACCCUGAUGCAGCGAUGCCGCGUGGAGGAAGAAGGUUUUCGGAUUGUAAACUCCUGUCGUAAGGGAAGAGAAAGGACUGUACCUUACAAGAAAGCUCCGGCUAACUACGUGCCAGCAGCCGCGGUAAUACGUAGGGAGCGAGCGUUGUCCGGAAUGACUGGGUGUAAAGGGAGCGUAGGCGGGAUGGCAAGUCAGAUGUGAAAACUGAGGGCUCAACCUUCAGACUGCAUUUGAAACUGCUGUUCUUGAGUGAGGUAGAGGUAAGCGGAAUUCCUGGUGUAGCGGUGAAAUGCGUAGAGAUCAGGAGGAACAUCGGUGGCGAAGGCGGCUUACUGGGCCUUUACUGACGCUGAGGCUCGAAAGCGUGGGGAGCAAACAGG
rnacentral:rRNA from 1 species